CCCUGAAGGGGAAGAUACCAAAUCCCUGGACUUAGGCCUCCCAUGAUUGAGGGGAACUCUGCAGUCAGACCCUACCAUGCACUCUUCAGUGCAGGAGGAUCCCACAUUCCAAACAUCUCAUCAGGUCAUAUGCUAAAUGACAGGGCUGAGACCUCUCCACAGCACAUGUGAUACUGGGCUCAAUGAAGAUAAGAUGCGCAAAUCACGCUCUGUUCUGGAAAGCCCUAGACUGUGUCAUUCAAGAUGUGUGACAUGGAUAAAAAACACCCCAUGGUGGAAAGAGGUGUCAGAAAGCAUCUCGACAAUAAGAGAAAAAUGAGGAAUCCAAAAUGGUGCCCGGGCAUUGGUAGGUGGUGAAACCAGCCAUCUGGCCCUGUGCCCUGUCCUCAGAAGUGCCCCUGCAACCACAGCAGGUACAUUUCCUUUUAGUGUCCUGGGAACCAAGUAUUUUCUGUUGGUGGCAUCUCUCUUGCAGAAGGUGAAUCUUUGCCUGGCUUACCUGAGAUUUAGACCAUCCUACUUCCAGCCUCCACUAACACAAACUAGGUUGGUUCACAACAGGCUGCCAUAAAAUUUCUCAUUUUUUCUGUGUUUGAAAUGUGUAACUUUUGCUCUACUUCGUAAGUAAGACUUCUUGAGUUGACAGCUCUAAAACUUCCACUAAAAAAUAAUGGAUUUGUCAAACUUUUGAGCAAAGUAUAGAUGACACUUCUAAAGAUUUGAAUGUAAUUUCUUCUUUAAGGGUACUCACAGAAAGGGAAAAUAUGAUCUUACUACAUUGACCAUGAAAAUUCUGAGGUUCAUAUAGAGUCUAAAGUCAUUAGAAAAUGUAAAUCUCAAGAAAAUCCCUAAUACUAAAUAUAUGUGUACAUAUUGCCCAUAGUUGUGUAGUACGUAUUCAUGUAUCAUAUAUGCAUAGGUACUUGUAUGUUCUUAUUCAUACAUUAAAAUAUGUAUGAAUGUAUAAGAUGAAGCUGGAAAUUAUUGACACAUAUUGUAACUAAAUAAAGCAAACCUUUAACAACC